UGGGGGAGGCCGGAUCCUGGGCUGUGUCCCGGCGCCCUGUGCUACGGGGCCUGCACUGUUGGAUUCGCGCCGCGCUCCUGCCCCGCAGCCCCCU
rnacentral:pre_miRNA from 1 species